rnacentral:rRNA from 1 species
GAUGAACGCUGGCGGCGUGCCUAAUACAUGCAAGUCGAGCGAACAGACGAGGAGCUUGCUCCUCUGACGUUAGCGGCGGACGGGUGAGUAACACGUGGAUAACCUACCUAUAAGACUGGGAUAACUUCGGGAAACCGGAGCUAAUACCGGAUAAUAUAUUGAACCGCAUGGUUCAAAAGUGAAAGACGGUUUUGCUGUCACUUAUAGAUGGAUCCGCGCCGCAUUAGCUAGUUGGUAAGGUAACGGCUUACCAAGGCAACGAUGCGUAGCCGACCUGAGAGGGUGAUCGGCCACACUGGAACUGAGACACGGUCCAGACUCCUACGGGAGGCAGCAGUAGGGAAUCUUCCGCAAUGGGCGAAAGCCUGACGGAGCAACGCCGCGUGAGUGAUGAAGGUCUUCGGAUCGUAAAACUCUGUUAUUAGGGAAGAACAAAUGUGUAAGUAACUGUGCACGUCUUGACGGUACCUAAUCAGAAAGCCACGGCUAACUACGUG